GACAGAGGGUGCAAGCGUUGUUCGGAAUUACUGGGCGUAAAGGGCGUGUAGGCGGUGGGGUGUGUCCGAUGUGAAAGCCCCCGGCUCAACCGGGGAAUGGCAUUGGAAACUACCUCGCUCGAGUGUGGGAGAGGGUGGUGGAAUUCCCAGUGUAGAGGUGAAAUUCGUAGAUACUGGGAGGAACACCGGAGGCGAAGGCGGCCACCUGGUCCAUAACUGACGCUGAUACGCGAAAGCGUGGGUAG
rnacentral:rRNA from 1 species